CAACUUUCAGCAACGGAUCUCUUGGCUCUCGCAUCGAUGAAGAACGCAGCGAAAUGCGAUAAGUAAUGUGAAUUGCAGAAUUCAGUGAAUCAUCGAAUCUUUGAAUGCACCUUGCGCUCCUUGGUAUUCCGAGGAGCAUGCCUGUUUGAGUGUCAUUA
rnacentral:rRNA from 1 species